UCCUGCAAGUUCAGUUCAACUGUUGUAACAAGUGAACAAAGAAGAGGAAGAGUUACAAUUUGCCUGUGAAUUUUGCAAAGCUAGCUUUCUCUGGCUGAAAAAAGUAUGGACAUGCGAAUUUUCCUUAUUUCUACCAGGAAAAUCAACUUCAUGGAUGGUGGGGCUGAAGGUCUACUGGUCAUGCCGUUCGACUUAUUACGAGAAGUUACUAAUGAUUUCUCUGAGGAGCGGAAACUUGGUAGCGGUUCGUUUGGGAAGGUUUACAAGGGAGUGCAUCAAGACGGUGUAAAGAUUGCUGUGAAGAUGCUCUAUGAUAUGCCAGGGCUCGAUGAUGAGCUAUUUCAGAACGAGUUUAAAAACCUUACAAGGCUCAGACACCAAAAUAUUGUGCGGUUAGUUGGCUAUUGCCAUGAUAUUCAGGUAGUACAAGUAAUGCACGAAGGAAAAUUGGUUCUCGCUGAAAAGACACAUAGGGCACUCUGCUUGGAGUAUAUGUCUAAUGGAAGCCUUGACAAGUACCUUUCCGGUAAUGAUCUCCUUACUACCGCUCAAUCUGGCUUCGGAUGGAGGUAGAAUUCGUGGUCAAAAGGCACUAGGCCUGCACCUGGGUGGCGAGGUACAAGGAAGGAGCUGUGAAUCAAUUGAGCACACCAGGAAUCAGUCUGACAAUUGGAAGGCCCUUUUUUCUGGGCUCUGCUUCUAGACAUUGGCACAUAAGGAUUUUCCAUGUGCAUAUGGCCAUUGCAGCUCCUUGACAUGUCCAAUUUCGCAUUUUUAUAAGUACAUCAAAAUGGUUUCUUUAAUCAAAAUGACACAAAAGAGCAGAAUAGUUUGUGACAACUUUGCAUAAUAUGAUUGUUUCCUAUUCACAGGAGGCGGAUAGGAACAUUUUCCGUCAGGAUGCUCAAGAUCCAUUUGAUAAACAUGUCCAACAUAUAUACCAUGGAUCCAAGUUUAAUCAGUAUGCUCAGUGUCUAUUUUGAAAUUCUGGAUAUAAUAAUUACUCCUAUAUCUACUUGUUUUGAAGAAAAUGCUGAUCCUACAGAAACAAGAUUAGAUGGUGACUCGCCGAAUGACAAUCAAGAUUACUCAUCUGGUGGUGAUUUAUUACCUGGUAUUGAGGGAUUUCAAGUUGUCGGCAAUCCUAUACCAGGAUCUACUCUAAGAGCAUGUGGUUUUUCUAUAAAUGGUACUACACGUUGUAAUUUCCAGUGGGUUCACUAUCUUGAAGAUGGGAACCAACCUUCUAAGUAAUUGGAAUUUGAUUUAUAAUAUUAGCCAAUUCCAGCAGUUAUGUUUGGCUAAUAAAGUAGAGAGUCAUGCUACAUAACGAUACAAGGAAGAUACUGAAAGAGGUUUUGCAAGUGCUUCCAGUUUAAGUAUACAUCUUCUUGAAUCCAUGUGCCGAAACCUUCAUCUUUACCUUGAGGUAUGGUCUGCUUUCAGCAGCAUUUAUUUAGUUAAUGUGUCAUUGAAGUGUUGAACAUCAAGUUAUAAUUUACCUCCUAUAUUUUCACCAUUGAUACGCUGCAAGUAUUAAUAAAAAAAUAUGUGUCCGGGUGAAAGUUAUAAAUUAUCCUUUUUAAAAAGAAUUAUCCAUUUUGUUGAAAUUUCAUUUUAUGCAUUUUUGUGCCCACGAAUGAUAUUAUUAUCUCUUUGUAGUUUUAUCGUCCAUGCACUCUAUCGUUAUCAGUAGAGGAGCACAUCGGUUUUUUUCCUUCUCUGAGUUUUCAUUAUUUCAUAUUACAUUUAACCAUGGGAGUGGGUUGUAGGCAUCGUUGUGUUCUGGAUCGGGUAUGUGGAUUUUCUAUGAGUUUUCCUUUUAUAAGAUGGAUAUUUGUGCUUAAGAAC